rnacentral:rRNA from 1 species
CCUACGGGAGGCAGCAGUGGGGAAUUUUCCGCAAUGGGCGAAAGCCUGACGGAGCAACGCCGCGUGGGUGAUGAAGUCUUUCGGGACGUAAAACCCUUUCAGCAGGGACGAACACAAUGACGGUACCUGCAGAAGAAGCAUCGGCUAACUACGUGCCAGCAGCCGCGGUAAUACGUAGGAUGCGAGCGUUGUCCGGAUUUAUUGGGCGUAAAGCGAACGUAGGCGGUUUCUUAAGUUUGGUCUUAAAGACCGGGGCUCAACCCCGGGAAUGGACUGAAUACUGGGAGACUAGAGGAUGUUAGAGGAAAGUGGAAUUCCAAGUGUAGCGGUGAAAUGCGUAGAUAUUUGGAGGAACACCAGUGGCGAAAGCGGCUUUCUGGGACAUUUCUGACGCUGAGGUUCGAAAGCUCGGGGAGCAAACAGGAUUAGAUACCCUGGUAGUCCGAGCCGUAAACGAUGGACACUAGGUGUCGGGGGUAUCGACCCCCCGGUGCCGUAGCUAACGCGUUAAGUGUCCCGCCUGGGAGUACGGUCGCAAGACUGAACUUAAAUGAAUUGACGGNUG